GACGAACGCUGGCGGCGUGCCUAAUACAUGCAAGUAGAACGCAGUUGCGAACGGGUGAGUAACGCGUAGGUAACUGCCUCAUAGCGGGGGAUAACUAUUGGAAACGAUAGCUAAUACCGCAUACAGUGAGAUGGACCUGCGUUGUAUUAGCUAGUUGGUGAGGUAAAGGCUCACCAAGGCGACGAUACAUAGCCGACCCGUGAGGGUGAGCGGACAGCCGGGUACUGAGGCACGGCCCAGAAUCCUACGGAAGGCAGCAGUAGGGAAUCUUCGGCAAUGGACGGAAGGUUGACCGAGCAACGCCGCGUGAGUGAAGAAGGUUUUCGGAUCGUAAAGCUCGGUUGUUAGAGAAGCGGUACCUAACCAGAAAGGAACGGCUAACUACGUGCCAGCAGCCGCGGUAAUUC
rnacentral:rRNA from 1 species